GUGCAGCCUGCACUGUAGCCUCCAGACCACCUGGGAGUUGGAGCGCAGACCAAAGCCCGAGCUCUCAGUGGCUGCGGGGGACGGGGGGCAGGGGGGGGCAGGAAUGCCCACAGC
rnacentral:miRNA from 1 species